AUGGAAUUUGGGCUGAGCUGGGUUUUUCUUGCUGCUAUUUUAAAAGGUAAUUCAUGGAGAACUAAGGAUAUUGAGUGUGAGGGGACAUGAGAUGUCUCUGUGUUUGCAGGUGUGCAGUGUGAAGUGCAGCUGGUGGAGUCUGGGGGAGGCUUGGUCCAGCCUGGGGGGUCCCUGAGACUCUCCUGUGCAGCCUCUGUAUUCACCUUCAGUAACAGUGACAUAAACUGGGUCCUCUAGGCUCCAGGAAAGGGGCUGGAGUGGGUCUCGGGUAUUAGUUGGAAUGGCGGUAAGACGCACUAUGUGGACUCCGUGAAGGGCCAAUUUUCCAUCUCCAGAGACAAUUCCAGCAAGUCCCUGUAUCUGCAAAAGAACAGACAGAGAGCCAAGGACAUGGCCGUGUAUUACUGUGUGAGA
rnacentral:lncRNA from 1 species